UCACACUAUCAUUAACUGAAUCCAUAGGUUAAUGAGGCGAACCGGGGGAACUGAAACAUCUAAGUACCCCGAGGAAAAGAAAUCAACCGAGAUUCCCCCAGUAGCGGCGAGCGAACGGGGAGGAGCCCAGAGCCUGAAUCAGCAUGUGUGUUAGUGGAAGCGUCUGGAAAGGCGCGCGAUACAGGGUGACAGCCCCGUACACAAAAGCGCAUGUGCUGUGAGCUCGAUGAGUAGGGCGGGACACGUGGUAUCCUGUCUGAAUAUGGGGGGACCAUCCUCCAAGGCUAAAUACUCCUGACUGACCGAUAGUGAACCAGUACCGUGAGGGAAAGGCGAAAAGAACCCCGGCGAGGGGAGUGAAAAAGAACCUGAAACCGUGUACGUACAAGCAGUGGGAGCACAGGUUUACCUGUGUGACUGCGUACCUUUUGUAUAAUGGGUCAGCGACUUAUAUUCUGUAGCAAGGUUAACCGUAUAGGGGAGCCGGAGGGAAACCGAGUCUUAACCGGGCGUUAAGUUGCAGGGUAUAGACCCGAAACCCGGUGAUCUAGCCAUGGGCAGGUUGAAGGUUGGGUAACACUAACUGGAGGACCGAACCGACUAAUGUUGAAAAAUUAGCGGAUGACCUGUGGCUGGGGGUGAAAGGCCAAUCAAACCGGGAGAUAGCUGGUUCUCCCCGAAAGCUAUUUAGGUAGCGCCUCGUGAAUUCAUCUCCGGGGGUAGAGCACUGUUUCGGCUAGGGGGCCAUCCCGGCUUACCAACCCGAUGCAAACUGCGAAUACCGGAGAAUGUUAUCACGGGAGACACACGGCGGGUGCUAACGUCCGUCGUGAAGAGGGAAACAACCCAGACCGCCAGCUAAGGUCCCAAAGUCAUGGUUAAGUGGGAAACGAUGUGGGAAGGCCCAGACAGCCAGGAUGUUGGCUUAGAAGCAGCCAUCAUUUAAAGAAAGCGUAAUAGCUCACUGGUCGAGUCGGCCUGCGCGGAAGAUGUAACGGGGCUAAACCAU
rnacentral:rRNA from 1 species